AUGGGCGUCCCGGCGUUCUACCGGUGGCUGGCGGAGAAGUACCCGAUGGUGGUGGUGGACGUGGUGGAGGAGGAGGCCGUCGAGAUCGACGGCGUGAAGGCGCCCAUCGACACCUCCAAGCCCAACGCCAACGGCCUCGAGUUCGACAACCUCUACCUCGACAUGAACGGGAUUAUACACCCCUGCUUCCACCCCGACGACAGGCCCUCGCCAACGACAUUUGCUGAGGUCUUCCAGUGCAUGUUCGAUUACAUAGACAGGCUCUUUGUCAUGGUUCGCCCUCGCAAGCUUCUCUACAUGGCCAUUGAUGGUGUGGCUCCUCGUGCUAAGAUGAACCAGCAACCCUCUAGACGAUUCAGAGCUGCAAAAGAUGCUGCUGAUGCGGCCGAAGAAGAAGAAAAACUGCGUCAAGAGUUUGAGAGGGAAGGAAGAAAGCUUCCUCCAAAGCAGGAAUCACAAACCUGUGACUCUAAUGUUAUUACUCCCGGAACAGAGUUCAUGGCUGUUCUAUCAGUUGCUUUGCAGUACUACAUCCACCUCAGGUUGAAUUAUGAUCUUGGAUGGAAAAAAAUUAAAGUUAUUCUUUCUGAUGCCAAUGUUCCUGGUGAAGGGGAACACAAAAUCAUGUCCUACAUUCGUGGCAAUAGGAACCUCUGUAAUGAACUUAACGCAAAUACCCGACAUUGCCUGUAUGGCCUGGAUGCAGAUCUAAUCAUGUUAGCUCUAGCAACACACGAAGUACACUUCUCCAUACUGAGAGAGGUGGUGUUUACACCUGGACAGCAGGACAAAUGCUUCCUGUGUGGUCAAGUUGGACAUCUAGCAGCAAAGUGUGAAGGAAAGGCAAAACGGAAAGCUGGGGAGUUUGAUGAGAAGGGUGAUGAAAUAGUACCGAAGAAACCUUACCAGUUCUUGAAUAUAUGGACCCUACGAGAGUACCUAGAAUACGAGUUCAGCAUGCCAAAUCCACCUUUCAAGAUUGAUCUUGAACACAUCAUUGAUGAUUUCAUCUUCAUGUGCUUUUUUGUUGGCAAUGAUUUUCUUCCACACAUGCCGACACUAGAGAUUCGUGAGGGAGCUAUUAAUUUGCUAAUUGCUGUAUACAAGAAGGAAUUUCCUAAUAUGGGUGGCUAUUUAACUGACACUUGCACGCCGGAUCUGAAUAGAGUUGAACACUUCAUUCAAGCAGUUGGUUCAUACGAGGAUAAAAUAUUUCAGAAAAGAGCUCGUUUGCACCAGCGUCAAGCUGAAAGAAUAAAACGUGAUAAAGCCCAAGCAAAGCGAGGCGAUGAUCUGGAUCCCCAUGUCAGUGGUGAUCUUAUUGUACCUGUUGCGCGGUUCCAAGGGUCUCGCCUUGCCUCUGGGGCUGUGGCUUCACCAUAUGAACAUAAUGGACCUCAUAAAGAUAGCACGGAAAAGGGCGGUCGAGCUCAGAAAGCACGUGUAUCAUCUUCAGAUUCCAGCCUUUCUGCUGCUGUUGUUGAAGCUGAAAUUAGCGUCGAGGCACAGGCACAUGAAAACAAAGAAGAACUGAAGUCAAUGCUUAAAGUCGCACUUCGUGAUAAAUCAGAUCUUUUUAAUUCUGAAAAUGCAGAGGAGGACAAGAUAAAGCUUGGAGAACCAGGAUGGAGGGAAAGGUAUUAUGAAGACAAGUUUGGGGCAAGAACACCUGAGCAAAUUGAAGAAAUACGUAGAGAUGUUGUUCUCAAAUAUACUGAAGGUCUGUGUUGGGUAAUGCACUACUAUUAUGAAGGUGUCUGCUCAUGGCAAUGGUUUUACCCUUAUCACUAUGCCCCUUUUGCUUCGGAUUUAAAAGGUUUAGGCCAGCUUAAUAUAUCUUUUGAACUUGGGUCACCAUUCAAACCUUUCGAUCAGCUUAUGGGAGUAUUCCCAGCGGCGAGCUCACAUGCACUCCCUCUACGGUAUCGGCAGUUGAUGACUGAUCAAAGUUCGUCGAUAAUUGAUUUUUAUCCCAUUGAUUUUGAAGUAGAUAUGAAUGGAAAGAGAUUUUCUUGGCAGGGGAUAGCCAAACUGCCCUUCAUUGAUGAAGCUAGGUUGCUGUCUGAGAUUGAAAAGGUCGAGCAUACUUUGACGCCUGAAGAAGCAAGACGAAACAGUACAAUGUACAACAUGCUUUUUGUGAAUAGCUUGCACCCAAUUGCGCCUUAUAUCUACUCUCUCGGCAACAAAUUCGGACAUCUGCCCGAUAAUGAGCGAAAUGAAAUUAAAGAGCCACUCGAGCCUUCUGCCAGUGGAGGAAUGAGUGGUUACAUCUCACUUUGUGGUGGGGAUCCAAGUCCGCCUGUCUUCAGAUCUCCUGUGGAUGGACUGGAGGAUAUUAUGGACAAUCAAGUGAUAUGCUCAAUUUACAAGCUUCCGGAUCCUCACAAGCACAUAGCGCGUCCACCUGCUGGUGUUAUCAUGCCCAAGAAGAUUGUUGAAGCUGGUGAUCUGAAACCACCACCUGUGCUGUGGCAUGAAGACAAUGGCAGGAGGCCUCAUGAUGAUACCAGGAGGCAUUGUGAUAACAGCAGCAGGCAAAACCCUGCAGGAUCAAUACAGCAGGGCCGCCAACUAGGGGAGGCUGCACACCGAUUAGUUGCAAACAGCUUGAAUAUUCGCAGCAGCGGGCAAUACACCUCGGCUAGGCCAUAUCAAACUAUAAUGAGUGGUCUGCAUUAUCCAAAUGGAAUGCCACCAUGGAUGGAGCAGCCUGCCGGACACCCUGGUUGGCAUGUUCCUAGUGAUAAUCUACCCUAUGGUCAGGCACCGGCCUAUGUGCUGCCAUCAGGAUCAGGUCACCAGUAUACAAGGGAUAAUCGCGGAAGGCACCAACCAUAUGCAAGAGACAGCCACAGCGAUUCAAGAGGAGCGGGCCGGCAUCCAUCUCGAUACCAUCAGAAUAGUAGCAGCAACGCAUAUUCAUCAUAUCAUGCUCCUCCGUCAUCGGGUUUUGGAUGA
rnacentral:rRNA from 1 species